GAGAAAUGACGGAAUUGCACGAAUCAGACACGAAAGUUUACGAAUAACAUCGAGUCGUACGUAGCGUGAAGUAAAAUCUGACACUUAAUUUUAUGGUUAAAAUGUGUAUUACAUGUGUAUAAUAUUGUUUAUCGAUAUGUAAAACGAUAUAACAUAAUAAUUUAUAACAUACCAAAAUAGAAAAACAUAAAUUAAAAAAAUUAUAUGUUUAUAUAUUCGAACCGGCGAAAACCUAACCUUCAAGGAUAUCACAUUGGAAGUUUACCGGGUUAUUUGACAACUGUUGCAACAUAAUACAAAAGGUAUGUAUCACAAUUCUCUUUAAUUCUAAAAUUUUUCUGGAUACUACUGGAAGAAAAUAAGGAAGAAAUGGUCAAAAACAGCGGUACUGAUGGUGACUAGUCGUUCGAAGAAAUGGACAAAAAAUUUUAAUUUCUUCAGCAUGUGCGUUGGAAGUGACGGAUCAGAGCGAUAAACGUUCUUCUCGUUAUUCUCGUCAGCUUUUAGUUUCAUGUACAUGCCCAAAAGCAAAAAGCGUUUGAUUCUCUGAAACUCUAUCUCAAAUUCUCUCUUACACAGUUAACAUGCUUUUAUAGUUUGUUGCAAGUAUGAAAUUUGUUUCAAGAAAAAAAAAAAAAUAAUCAAUCUAUGCUGACUUUUCCUACAAUGUUUGAAGAAAUAGCAAUACUAUUUUAAAAAUCUACGAAGCCUUUUGUAAUUCUGAUGUAA